rnacentral:rRNA from 1 species
GGCUGUUCCUAGUACGAGAGGACCGGGACGGACGAACCUCUAGUGUGCCAGUUGUUCCGCCAGGGGCAUUGCUGGUUGGCCACGUUCGGGAGGGAUAACCGCUGAAAGCAUCUAAGCGGGAAGCCUGCUUCGAGAUUAGUUCUCGUUCCACCUUUGGGGUGGGUGAGGUCCCCGGUUGAUGAUCGGGUUGAUAGGCCAGGGAUGUAAGCAUUGUGAGGUGUUUAGUUGACUGGUACUAAUGGACCGAUAACCAAAACAA